CUGAGAUGGAGAUGAGUGUGCAGGGGUGUGUGGAGAGCUCUUGGGAAUAGCACCUUUAAAAAGCCAACAUGAACGGAGGAUUGGAAAGAGCGAAAGAGUAAUACAUCAGAAGUAGAUGUUUGCAGUGUGCUGAGUUUGACCAAAAUCAAAGCCGAAGCUGUCUAUUGGACGGGUAAAGUUUCUGCUACAAGGCGUUUUGGAAACCACAGAAGGGAAGAGCAUGACACCAGUUCUCCCCGAAAGAUCAAAGGGAGAUUCCGAUGCAGGUCUCCAGGCCGCUGAGUAAAGC